rnacentral:lncRNA from 13 species
AUGAAAUCUAUGCAGCCUACUCAAUCACUUUUUAUAGCUACUGUUUACAGGCCUCCUGGGCCAUAUACAGCGUUCCUCACUGAGUUCCCUGAAUUCCUAUCGGACCUUGUAGUCAUAGCAGAUAAUAUUCUAAUCUUUGGUGACUUUAAUAUUCACAUGGAAAAGUCCACAGACCCACUCCAAAAGGCUUUCGGAGCCAUCAUCGACUCAGUGGGUUUUGUCCAACAUGUCUCUGGACCCACUCACUGUCACAGUCAUACGCUGGACCUAGUUUUGUCCCAUGGAAUAAAUGUUGUGGAUCUUAAUGUUUUUCCUCAUAAUCCUGGACUAUCGCACCACCAUUUUAUUACGUUUGCAAUUGCAACAAAUAAUCUGCUCAGACCCCAACCAAGGAACAUCAAAAGGCGUGCUAUAAAUUCACAGACAACACAAAUAUUCCUUGAUGUCCUUCCAGAUUCCUUCUGUCUACCCAAGGACGUCAGAGGACAAAAAUCAGUUAACCACCUAACUGAGGAAAUCAAUUUAACCUUGCGCAAUACCCUAGAUGCAGUUGCACCCCUAAAAACUAAAAACAUUUUUCAUAAGAAACUAGCUCCCUGGUACACAGAAAAUACCCGAGCUCUGAAGCAAGCUUCCAGAAAAUUGGAAUGGAAAUGGCGCCACACCAAACUGGAAGUCUUCCGACUAGCUUGGAAAGACAGUACCGCGCAGUACCGAAGAGCCCUUACUGCUGCUCGAUCAUCCUAUUUUUCUAACUUAAUUGAGGAAAAUAAGAACAAUCCGAAAUUCCUUUUUGAUACUGUCGCAAAGCUAACUAAAAAGCAGCAUUCCCCAAGAGAGGAUGACUUUCACUUUAGCAGUGAUAAAUUCAUGAACUUCUUUGAGGAAAAGAUUAUGAUUAUUAGAAAGCAAAUUACGGACUCCUCUUUAAAUCUGCGUAUUCCUUCAAAGCUCAGUUGUCCUGAGUCUGCACAACUCUGCCAGGACCUAGGAUCAAGAGAGACGCUCAAGUGUUUUAGUACUAUAUCUCUUGACACAAUGAUGAAAAUAAUCAUGGCCUCUAAACCUUCAAGCUGCAUACUGGACCCUAUUCCAACUAAACUACUGAAAGAGCUGCUUCCUGUGCUUGGCCCUCCUAUGUUGAACAUAAUAAACGGCUCUCUAUCCACCGGAUGUGUACCAAACUCUCUAAAAGUGGCAGUAAUAAAGCCUCUCUUGAAAAAGCCAAGCCAAUAUAAAAAACUAUCGGUCUAUAUCGAAUCUUCCAUUCCUCUCAAAAAUUUUAGAAAAGGCUGUUGCGCAGCAACUCACUGCCUUCCUGAAGACAAACAAUGUAUACGAAAUGCUUCAGUCUGGUUUUAG